rnacentral:rRNA from 1 species
UACGGGGGGAGCAAGCGUUGUUCGGAUUUACUGGGUGUAAAGGGCGCGUAGGCGGCCAGCACAAGUCAGUUGUGAAAUCUCCGAGCUUAACUCGGAAAGGUCAACUGAUACUGUGCGGCUAGAGUGCGGAAGGGGCAACUGGAAUUCUUGGUGUAGCGGUGAAAUGCGUAGAUAUCAAGAGGAACACCUGCGGCGAAGGCGGGUUGCUGGGCCGACACUGACGCUGAGGCGCGAAAGCCAGGGGAGCGAACAGG